GACUAAAACCCUAACCCGGGUGUUUGCACCCUAUUUAAACAAUCUAACCUAGCCUCCAUUUCCCUAGCACUCCCAGAGAUCUGUAGAACGAAACCCUAGCCCCCUUUGUGUCCUUGUGGGUGAUUUUUUUUAGCAUUGUGAAGGCGAUUUGGAGCUUGGGAGAAGAAGGAGAAGGUUGAAGAGUGCAAGAAGGGAAGAAGAUUCGGAAUCUACUCUGUGAAGGGCUUCUAUUCAGGUACCUCUUCAGCUAAGGGAAAGGAGCCGGCACGGUAGCAGCAUAUCACACACACUCUUGUUUCCGCAGUUAUGAGUUUAUUCUGGGAUUGAUACUCUGAUGUUUGGUUGUUUACAUGUUGUGGAUUUCAAAUUUGGGUUUUCGAUGUGAAAUGGUUUAAUUAAACAAUGUUUUAAUCCUUAAUGUUUUCUAAGUAAUGUUUUAAAAACGAAAUUUUUGGACG